GCCCUGGUGGCUCAGCUGGUUAGAGCGCCGGUCUCAUAAGUAUUAAUUAUGAAUGUUGAAAGCAGCAUCAAUCCGGAGAUCGUCGGUUCGAUCCCGUCCCGGGGCA